GAAUGAAGGAAGCACCGUAACGUGCACAUAAAUUGACUUGAGUCUCUCGGCCCGGCCUCUGAUGCCUUUCAGCUUUGAUUUGGCCAUUUGGGCAUGGUUUCGCAACAAAACG